ensembl:lncRNA
AAAUGUUUUCCUGGUGCAAUGAGGAACUCUUCAGUGCUGGGGAAUUCCCUCAGCAACAGUGUUCAUGACUCUGAAUAGAAGUGGCAAAACCAACGACUUUACGUCUGCCAGCAUUUGUUCUUUUCUCAGCAGUCAGUAUCUCUGUUCUUGAAUUAUAAAGAUUAUAUGUUACAACCAUAAAAACAAAAUAGUUAAGGCUGGAAGAGGCCUCAGGAAUCUCUAUAUAUGUCUUACAGAUGAUCUAAAAGUAACAGAUUAAAGUAAUUGUAUUCUAAAUCUGGCCAUUUAUUUAGUAGUUCGGUGACUAGAAAACAAUAUUUUGGAAGCUUUAGGCCAGAAGCCCUGUUUCUAGGAAAGGGAGAAAAAGUAAAUCAACAGGGCAGCCUAAGAACUGGAAACAGUGUUAAUAAAGGAAGAGAACAGUUAGAAAAGGGAAAAGGUUUUAAGGAUGUUCUUCUACCUGAGAGGAGAUAAGAUACAGGGAAAAUGGACUAUUCAUUCUUUCCUAGUUCUCUAACAGCACUUUACAUCCUCCUAUGAACGGUGCCUUUCCUGUGUCCUGGGACAACAGUAUUACAGCACUACUCCCUCGUAGGUGGGGUUUUUAAAUGCUAAAGCUGGGUCAUGUUUGGGUUGCAGGGUAAUGCUGGCAGCCUUAUUCAGUGGCAGCAGUCAGUGCAUGCUAUUGCUGCUCAUUCAAAACAGUCUUGGAGCCAGUUUCCUUUCAGAUUUUGCUGUCUCUGCUUUCUCAGCCUUCUCCCCAACAAUACUCCAAGCCCCACCAGAGAGACAGCAGUUCUGCAGCUGCUCCUAAUGUAUGCACAUGUUAAUUGGUAGCUAAUGUCUGCCAAAUAAACUCCAAGGACUGAAGCACUCGUGCCUCAGCUGGGGCGCAGAGCCGUUCAUUUAUGGGUCUUCACAAAAUCCAAGGAACAGCAGGGGCUGGGCUGAGAUGAUACUCAAGUGGUUGAGUAAGCUUUGUUUCUAGAGGGCACCCGAGUAAAAAAGUUUUCAAGAGCAGCAUUUUCUCCUAAAACUUCAGUGUCAGCACUGGAUCACAGUUGCCAUACAAAAUCUGUAUUCCCUACCAAUAUGGUGUUUGAUGGAAACCUGGAACAGUUCCAUUGCCGGUGAAUCAAAAGAAGACUCAGUGGUCAGACAGGCUGGUUUUGAAUAAUAAUCUCUUUUUCUAAUGGUUGUUUUAUUAUGAUGUAAAGGAGCUAAAUCAGGUGCUGGGGAUCCGAGAAUUAUCUGAGGAAGCAGGCAAGGGGCUGCUGUGAUAUACUGUUGCCAAUAUGCACAGUUCAUCUGUUCGUUUUGGUGUCUCCAGGAAGGCCUAGGAUCAUAACUACCUUGAGCACUGUGGCAAAUACAACAGGAGGGUCUGAGUUCUGGUAAUUAGCCGUUUGGUUACGUUUCCUUUCCUUCGCAUCUCUCUGCAUGAGUGUGCUGUUAGUCAGGAGGAAAUUCUUCUGAUCUUAAUGGGAGUACAGCAGCUUCCAGAGCACAGUAGCAGCCAGGCAGAGGAGCCCAGCAGCAAGAGAGUCUGCAGCACAGUGAAGACUGCUGAGAAGUGGGGGCAGGCAACCUGCCAAAAGUAGAAGCUGACAAAGAGACUUUUCCUGGUGCUUAGAAGACUGUACAGUCUGACAAAACCCUGAAAGUGACUGUACUGGAUUUAAACUGAGCCCAAAAAAGGAUUUGUCCUCCACCAGAGCUCUGAGACCUACAUUUACAAGUGCUCUUAGUUUUACUGCUUGUUCUUCAUUCUAGUAGUUUGCUUUUGAGAGCCUUUUAAAUGACCCAGAAUGAUCUGGUGAUGAGAUUUUUUAAGAGUAACUCUCAUAUCUCUCCUUGUGCCUCUUCUCAAAACAGUUUGACACAAGUAUUUUGUCAGUUCUUCAAAUAAACAUUUUUACCACCCC